UACGAAGGGUGCAAGCGUUACUCGGAAUUACUGGGCGUAAAGCGUGCGUAGGUGGUGAGUUAAGUCUGUCGUGAAAGCCCCGGGCUCAACCUGGGAAUGGCGAUGGAUACUGGCUCGCUAGAGUGCGGUAGAGGAGAGUGGAAUUCCCGGUGUAGCAGUGAAAUGCGUAGAGAUGUGGAGGAACACCGAUGGCGAAGGCAGCCUCCUGGGCCAGCACUGACGCUCAUGCACGAAAGCGUGGGGAGCAAACAGG
rnacentral:rRNA from 1 species